UCUGUGCGGGAUUUACAGAGACAAAUGCGAAUGCUAAACUUGGCCAACAACAAAUUGGCAAUCAGGCCGCUUUCAAUCGCUUUGCCCACUGGGCAGGUGUUGGACAACUUAAUGCGAAAUGGCUGGCGAGGAUGGGAAAUGGAGAAUGGAGGAUGGCGGCAGGAGGCAGGAGAAGGUAGCUGCGUAGAGCGCGUGCCGUGUAAAAUUUUUUUUUAAGUGCCUGCUCAUUAAUCGUAAUCGUCUGAGGCCCUGACCCCUUCUGCUCAUCGUGUGUAUCUGCUUGGAGCUCCAGUGCAGCUCCUUUGACGCCUGCCGCUCCUGUUUAGCAUUCGACGUGUUCUGGAAAUCGCAGAAAAUAGCUAUAUAUAAGAAACGCAAAUUCU
ensembl:ncRNA lncRNA:CR44658 long non-coding RNA:CR44658